rnacentral:rRNA from 16 species
GGAUGCGAUCAUACCAGCACUAAAGCACCGGAUCCCAUCAAAACUCCGAAGUUAAGCGUGCUUGGGCGAGAGUAGUACUAGGAUGGGUGACCUCCUUAUGAUCACAUCCAACAUGCA